UGUGAGGUACAUUUUAUGAAGAAAACUGAAAAUAAGCUCAUCUAUCAGCCAUUCAAAUCUGGAAGCCUAACUGUCAUAUAUUCAAGAAUGAAAGGCAACUCCUUCUAUUUUUGAAAGCCACAAAUGAAUAAACUCGCUCUCUACAAAGAGUGGAGGGACCUGGAUGAUGAAGUAGGUGGCUCCUGAACUCCCCUGCUCCCACAAAUGCACCAAAUUUACACCAACACAUACAGCAACCCCCUCUGAGAGAAAUCCAGAAGCCAGAUUCCACACAAAAAUGAAAUCAAAACCACAAUGAGAUAUCAUCUAAUACCAGUCAAAAUGGCUGGCAUCAAAAAGACAAGAAGUAACAAGUGUUGAGGAAGAUGGAGAGAAAAGGGAAUCUUUGUGCAUUGUUGGUGGGAAAGUAAAUUGGCACAACCUUUGUAGAAAAUAAUAUGAAGUUUCUCCAAAAAAUUAAAAAUAAAAAUGCCAUAUGAUCCAAUAAUUCCAGUACUGGGAAUUUACCCAAAGAAAAUGAAAAUACACUAAUUUGAAAAGAUAUCUGUACCCCUAUGUUUAUCUCAGCAUUAUUUAAAAUAGCCAAGAAAUGGAAGCAACUCAAAUGUCCAUCAAUAGAUGAAUGGAUGUGGCUUGCACACACACACACUGGAUUAUUAUUGAGACACAA